rnacentral:rRNA from 1 species
AACGAACGCUGGCGGCAGGCUUAACACAUGCAAGUCGAACGCCCCGCAAGGGGAGUGGCAGACGGGUGAGUAACGCGUGGGAACAUACCCUAUCCUGCGGAAUAGCACUGGGAAACGGGAAUUAAUACCGCAUACGCCCUACGGGGGGAAGAUUUAUCGGGGAAGGAUUGGCCCGCGUUGGAUUAGCUAGUUGGUGGGGUAAAGGCCUACCAAGGCGACGAUCCACAGCUGGUCAGAGAGGAUGACCAGCCACAUUGGGACUGAGACACGGCCCAAACUCCUACGGGAGGCAGCAGUGGGGAAUAUUGGACAAUGGGCGAAGCCUGAUCCAGCCAUGCCGCGUGAGUGAUGAAGGCCUUAGGGUUGUAAAGCUCUUUCACCGAUGAAGAUAAUGACGGUAGUCGGACAAGAAGCCCCGGCUAACUUCGUGCCAGACGCCGCCGUAACAC